AGUUGCGAAGGCGGCACUCUGGACUGUAACUGACGCUGAGGCACGACAGCGUGGGGAGCAAACAGGAUUAGAUACCCUGGUAGUCCACGCUGUAAACGAUGAGUACUAGGUGUCGGGGGUUACCCCCCUCGGUGCCGCAGCUAACGCAUUAAGUACUCCGCCUGGGAAGUACGCUCGCAAGAGUGAAACUCAAAGGAAUGGACGGGGACCCGCACAAGUAGCGGAGCAUGUGGUUUAAUUCGAAGCAACGCGAAGAACCUUACCUAAGCUUGACAUCCCAAUGACAUCUCCUUAAUCGGAGAGUUCCCUUCGGGGACAUUGGUGACAGGUGGUGCAUGGUUGUCGUCAGCUCGUGUCGUGAGAUGUUGGGUUAAGUCCCGCAACGAGCGCAACCCUUGUCUUUAGUUGCCAUCAUUAAGUUGGGCACUCUAGAGA
rnacentral:rRNA from 1 species